rnacentral:rRNA from 1 species
AUGUCGUCGCAGCGGAUGGGGCGUCACCAGCGCCGGGCGUCUCAGAGCGUGUUCGCGCUGCCGGAGAACUUCGCGGCCCUCGACGACGUGCCGGCGUCCGACGAGCACCGGAAGGCGGACGGCGGCGGCGCGACCGAGCAGCAGCAGCAGGGGGCGGGGCGCCACCGGCGGGCCAUGUCCAUGGCCGUCGCCUCCUCCAGGGACCUCGAGAUGAUCAAGGAGGACGUCGGCGGCUACAGCAACUACAAGAUUGGCGCCUAG